UUUCCAGUACAUACACGUUUUAAAUAACCCCAUUGGUAAUGGAGAGGUCGACAGUUCAAUCCUGUCUCGCAGCACCA
rnacentral:tRNA from 1 species